rnacentral:lncRNA from 1 species
GAUGAUCCAAGGAGGUGGCAGAUCCUCAGGAAACACAGGGGAUCUGCUGUCUAUAAACUGCCGGAUGUCAGGUACCUGGUUCAUCAUCUUCAUUUUCAUGCACGUCAACAGCCACAUCACUGACCUUCCAACAAAUCUUCCAGCCUUACCGACCCUCAGUCCUCGCCUCUAAUGGCCCUAUAUUCCAUCCGGAAUCGGACCCUCAAGUGAAGUGAAAUGCAGCCUGUAACUCAGAGAGUGGCAGGUUGUCUCCUCUGAACCGGUGUCAGGUGCUACUUUCUCCGCAACCCUAGGCUGUAGGCACUCAGCAGCCCCAGAAUCUGCAGGCUUAGCCCUGCCAUCCAGAGAGCAGUCCCUGCUGCUGCUCAGGGGGGCCAUGCAGCCCAAGACGAGCCUAGAUUCCCUCACAGUCUCUGCACUGUCAGGGUCCCCUAAGCUCUGCCAGGUCUCCCUAGUCGGAAUGCAACAUGUCUGUCUCCAUGUUCCGAAUUGCAUCCAGUCCACCCGCAGGGCCUGUAGCCCUGCCCAGAGGUCCAGGUGGAAGGCAUGAUGCCCUGUGCAGUCCUGCCCAGACCCCUUCUCAGGAGGUGAGACUCUGCCCUACACAUCCAGCAAGGUGCUAAACAGAUCAGGUGGAACGAGAAUGUCACUGCCUCGUAGUCCACCUGCAGGUACUGGAAACUGCUACCAUUGCCCAGACUAGCAGAAUAGAUUUCACCUUCGAAAGCGACCCUGGCCUGGAUCCUGCUGCUUCUGCCACAUCUAUUUCCAGCUUCCUCUUCCUACUGGCCUCCUUCUGAAGUCCCAACAUGAUGUCCUGCCAAGUCACACAGGUGAAGAUAUAGGUUUGGAAAGGGGAUAUAACUUUCCAUGGUCAAAAGCAAAUAAACUGAACAUCUCAGCCAGCCCAUCUGCUUGGAGCCCUCUGCCUUAAAGCCACAUCACUCUCUGAGAUGAAACACCAGCCAGACAGGGUGAAGACAGGAGCGAGCUCCAGGUUUACAAGUGAUAGGAUCCCUGUGGAUUUCUAGUUCAGACUGAAAAUCCAUGAAAUUUAGAAUAAUAUGGGGAUAGUUUACAGACAUGUGAACUUUUACUGUGUAUGUUUUACUUACAAUGCAAUACCUAAUACUUCCACUGCGACAUCAGCAAACAUCCUUAGCCCUGUUUGCCACUGCACCACAGAGCUUUUCAUGCAAACUAACAUUACAGUAUGAUACAAAGAAAACUGUUUCUUCUUAAGAUAUUUACAAUGUGAUCAGGUUUAUUUAAAUAAAGUCCAUUUUAUACUAGCUUUAGAAUUGUCAUUAAUUUUAAAAGGCAGUAAUAUGCCAUCAAAUUCGUUCCUAAUCUUUUACAAGUGUUAUUUUUCCUUGCUAUUUUCAUUUUAUCAUUAUUCUCUCCAAAAGUCUGCAAAUUGAUUUUGGGGAAAAUAGGUAGAUAUACCACACUAAAGUUGCAGACACCUAAACGUCCAUGAAGACUUACUUUUUUUACUCAGGCCAGGCCUAAUGUCAGCUGCACAAAACCAUGAGGCUCAGCCCUGGAAAGAAGAAUGUUUCCACUUUUGCCCUCAGUCCUUCUUCACUAUUCAGCUUCUGCAUGAAUGUCCCUGUGUGCUUUCAUAAUCUCACAUUAUCCUAGUAUUGUGCUUCUAUAUUUUUCUAAUUUCUAAUUUCUAAAUUUUCUUUUCAAUAAAACUUAAGGACUGCUGAGUUUUUAUCCAGGACCAGGAAAAAAUAAAAAUCAGCACUCUGACAAUAAAA